rnacentral:ncRNA from 1 species
GAGCCGUGUGAGGGGAAACUUUCACGCACGGUUCUGAAGACCAGUCCCUUAUGGCGACAUAAGGGGCUGAGUUUAACAUUGAGUCUUUUCGUACCAAGUCAGGAUACCGGCGAUAUAACGUUGAGUCCUAC